CAUUUGGUGUGGCCCUGGACUUUGGUUGUACAGUUCUGUCAUCUUCCUCCACUGCAGAUGUGUCUUGCAGAAUUAACUAUGUGUUAAGAAGAUUUGCAAUAGAUUUAAUUCCAAGAAUGACCAGAUCUCAGGACCAGGGAAUGUGAAAGGAGGCGCAGGAUUCAGAAAGUCUUUGAACAGUCUGUCGGUGCCAUGGGUCUCUACAUCACAAGUUAUGACAAGUGGGAUAUAUAUAGUCAAAAGGGAAGAAAUACAGAUGCCUUUAGUUUGUGUCAAGGUGACAUGAAAUUACUCAGCACAGUGAGUAUCUGUUGAAGUUCCUGCACUGACUUCAUUAUCAUGAUGGACUAGAAGCUGGACUUUGAGCUAAAAUAAACCAUU